UAUUUUAUACUUUGCAUAUAAGAAUAUAUUCUUUGCACUUUCUGAUUCAAUCAAUACAAUGACAACAAUUCUCUAAAGUUUUCAACCUACCUAUCUACCAUAUUAUAUAUCUUCAUGCUUCGUCAACUCCCUAAUUUUUUUAACCCAUACACCAUUAAGACUUCAACUGUACUCCAUUAACAAAUAAACCUCCUUCUUCUCAAAAGUGACAUUUUUCUCUAGAUUGGACUCCAUUUAAAAAAAAAAGUAAAAACAAAAACAUGAAAAGAAGACAAAGUUAAAGGUUAGGUCGAGGUUGGUAGACGGUGACGUUAAAAGCACCAAAACAACUAAAACUUUUCUUUUUUUGCUCAUCGAUUCACGCACAUCUACC
rnacentral:lncRNA from 1 species